rnacentral:rRNA from 1 species
AGGGUUUGAUUAUGGCUCAGGACGAACGCUGGCGGCGUGCCUAACACAUGCAAGUCGAACGGGGACAUACGGACAGAAUCCUUCGGGAGGAAGAUUGUAUGUUCUAGUGGCGGACGGGUGAGUAACGCGUGAGCAACCUGCCUAUUAGAGGGGGAUAACUACGGGAAACUGUAGCUAAUACCGCAUACGCUGCUUAUGAGGCAUCUCAUGAGCAGGAAAGGAGCAAUCCGCUAAUAGAUGGGCUCGCGUCUGAUUAGAUAGUUGGUGAGGUAACGGCUCACCAAGUCAACGAUCAGUAGCCGGACUGAGAGGUCGAACGGCCACAUUGGGACUGAGAUACGGCCCAG